UGAGUGAAUGAGUCCCCACACGGAG
rnacentral:miRNA from 1 species